GACGAACCGUGCGAACGUUGUUCGGAUUCACUGGGCUUAAAGGGUGUGUAGGCGGUCUGUCAAGUCAGGGGUGAAAUCUUUCGGCUCAACCGGAAAACUGCCUUUGAUACUGGCAGGCUCGAGGGAGGUAGGGGUUGCGGGAACUACCAGUGGAGCGGUGAAAUGCGUUGAUAUUGGUAGGAACGCCGGUGGCGAAAGCGGCGCGCUGGACCUCUUCUGACGCUGAGGCGCGAAAGCCAGGGGAGCGAACGGG
rnacentral:rRNA from 1 species